AUUGAACGCUGGCGGCAUGCCUUACACAUGCAAGUCGAACGGUAACAGGUCUUCGGAUGCUGACGAGUGGCGAACGGGUGAGUAAUACAUCGGAACGUGCCUAGUAGUGGGGGAUAACUACUCGAAAGAGUGGCUAAUACCGCAUGAGAUCUACGGAUGAAAGCAGGGGAUCGCAAGACCUUGUGCUACUAGAGCGGCCGAUGGCAGAUUAGGUAGUUGGUGGGAUAAAAGCUUACCAAGCCGACGAUCCGUAGCUGGUCUGAGAGGACGAUCAGCCACACUGGGACUGAGACACGGCCCAGACUCCUACGGGAGGCAGCAAUGGGGAAUUUUGGACAAUGGGCGAAAGCCUGAUCCAGCAAUGCCGCGUGCAGGAUGAAGGCCUUCGGGUUGUAAACUGCUUUUGUACGGAACGAAAAGCCCCGGGUUAAUACCCUGGGGUCAUGACGGUACCGUAAGAAUAAGCACCGGCUAACUACGUGCCAACCGCCGCCGUAA
rnacentral:rRNA from 1 species